GCCCCAAUCACCAGACAGGAUCUAAAAACCCUGCUGACAGAUUUUCACACAAUUCUAGCGACGGAACUUGCUCCCAUCAAAAAAGACAUCAAAGCAAUCACCAGCAGGGUGCAGGCAACCGAAAAAGACAUCACAAGCCUGCAGGAACAUCUAUCCGACCUACAAGAAUCUGUGCAGCAGGUACACACACAACAUAAAGCCUUAACUGCACAGCUCACUGCUCUGGAAGAAAAACAAAGACGCACUAAUAUAAAGAUAAGGGGCAUCCCUGCGGAAGUCACACCAAACGAACUGCCACACUACUCCAGGCGCCUCAUAGCCACAAUCUUGCCUCCAGUUGCAGCCAAAAAACUAGCCGCAGCAGAUAUUUAUCGCUUGCCCUCUUCCGCCAGGGCACCGAAAAACACAGCCCGAGAUGUGAUACUCAGAUGUCCAACAAUACAAGACAAAAUACAGCUCAUGACGGCCCUUAAAGGGAAAACACCACUGGAUUUUGAAGGAACUACACUGUACUUUUUCCAGGACCUAACAAAAGCCACCCUCACCUGGAGGAAAACCUUCUCUUCUCUCACCGGUGGCCUGAGGUCAGUGGGCAUCGAAUACAGAUGGGGGCCCAACGGCUCCGUAAUGGUGCACCGGAACGGAACUCACCACACACUCACCUCAAUGGAAGGUGCACCCGAAUUUUUGAAGGCACUGAGACUGGACAUCCCGAUCGCUGCUACCCCACAUGGGAGGCCAACCACUGCUAGCUGGGACCCAGAACACAUCACCCCCUUUGUUCCAAGGGCCGGGAGCUCCAAGACCACGGAACGGCAACAGCCUCUGGGAACCGGUUUGACGCUGGACACUUAGCCCCUCCAGGGGAAGCAGAACAAGGACACAUUACAAUCCUCGCAAACCCAACUAAUAUCAAAAGUUUAUUGCCUGCCCUGUUGCAUACUUAUUGAUUUUGCUUAUAUGUUGUCUAUGAGGGAAUGUCCAC